GGUUCGAUCAUGGCUCAGAUUGAACGCUGGCGGGAUGCUUUACACAUGCAAGUCGAACGGCGGCACGGACUUCGGUCUGGUGGGAGGGCGAACGGGUGAGUAGUGUAUCGGAACGUGCCUAGUAGCGGGGGAUAACUACGCGAAAGGUAGCUACUAACGCAUACGCCCUUCGGGGAAAGCGGGGACCUUCGGGCCUCGCACUAUUAGAGCGGCCGAUAUCGGAUUAGCUAGUUGGUGGGGUAACGGCUCAUCAAGGCGACGAUCCGUAGCUGGUUUGAGAGUGACGACCAGCCACACGGGGACUGAGACACGGCCCAGACUCCUACGGAGGCAGGGAACUUUGGACAAUGGGGAAACCCUGAUCCAGCCAUCCCGCGUGUGCGAUGAAGGCCUUCGGGUUGUGGGUGCCACUUGCAGGAAAGAAACGCAGCACGGGAUAAUACUCCAGGCAACUGACGGUACCUGCAGAAUAAGCACCGGCUAACUACGCGCCAGCAGCCGCGGUAAUACGUAGGUGCGUUAAUCGGAAUUACUGGGCGUAAAGGCGCAGGCGGUUCGGAAAGAAAGAUGUGAAAUCCCAGAGCUUAACUUUGGAACUACAUUUUUAACUACCGAGCUAGAGUGUGUCAGAGUGGGAGGUGGAAUUUGCGUGCAGUGAAACGCGUAGAUAUGCGGAGGAACACCGAUGGCGAAGGCAGCCUCCUGGGAUAACACUGACGCUCAUGCACGAAAGCGUGGGGAGCAACAGGAUUAGAUACCCUGGUAGUCCACGCCCUAAAAACGAUGUCAACCACGUUGGGGCUUCGGGCCCGGUAGCGCAGCUAACGCAGUGAAGUUGACCCGCCUGGGAGUACGGUCGCAAGAUUAAAACUCAAAGGAAUUGACGGGGACCCGCACAAGCGGUGGAUGAUGUGGAUUAAUUCGAUGCAACGCGAAAAACCUGCCUACCCUUGACAUGUUCCUGGAACUCGGAAGAGAUUUGGGAGUGCUCGCAAGAUAACCGGAACACAGGUGCUGCAUGGCUGUCGUCAGCUCGUGCUUGAUGUUGGGUUAAGUCCCGAAAACGAGCGCAACCCCUUGCCGUUAGUUGACACGAAAGGGCACUCUUAAUGAGAUCGCCGGUGACAAACCGAUAAAGGUGGACAUCAAGUCCUCGCGGUCUCUUAUGCGGGUAGGGCUUUCACACGUCAUACAAUUGUCGUACAGAGGGUCGCCAACUCGCGAGGGGAGCCAAUCCCAGAAACCCGAUCGUAGUCCGGAUCGCAGUUCGCAAACUCGACUGCGUGAAGUCGAAUCUCGCUAGUAAUCGCGGACUGGCAUGUCGCGGUGAAUACGUUCCGGUUCGUACACCGCCUGGCUUCGCCACCAUGGGAGUGGGCUUUACCAGAAGUAGUUAGCCUAACCGGGUAAGGAGGGACGAUUACCACCAGAGGAUUCAUGACGGGUGAAGUCGCACAAGGCAG
rnacentral:rRNA from 1 species